rnacentral:lncRNA from 1 species
AAUGGGUUGAAGAUCUAUUGGAUAAAUCAAUGAGGCUUCUUGAUCUGUGUGGCACUGCAAGGGAACUUGUAUCACAAUGCAAAGAAAAUGUAAGAGACCUCCAAUCCUCCCUCAAGAGGAGAAAAGGAGAUUCAACCAGAGAUGACAACGUUACCAGAUUUAACUCUUUCAGCAAGAAGAUCAAGAGGAAUGCCAAAAGAUUAGUAUUGACCUUGAAACAAAUAGAUCAAGACACUACAGUAUCUGUUUUGCUAGAUGCAGAUCAAGAUACAAUAGCUGUGAUCAGAGCACUAAAAGAAGCUAAUGCAGAAUGCAUUUCAACUUUCCAAAUGCUCUUGUCCUUCUUGUGUGUACCACUUUUGAAGCCCAAGGAAUCUAUAUGGUCACUGCUUUCUAGAUUGGUAAACAAAGAAAGAAUAGCAUCACUUGUCAUAGAAGAAAACAUGAGCUUAGAAACCAGGCUCGAAAGCUUUGAGACUUAUCUUGUCAGCUUCGAAGAUGGAUUGGAAGCAACAUUUAGAUGCCUGAUUAGAUCUAGAAGCUCGCUACUCAAUGUUUUCUCCUGCUAAUCUGGCAGUUGUUAUUCUAUACACUGUAAAUUAUAUAUACACAUUUUUGUAGUUAUGUUAGAAAUAUACAAUCUUCAAGCGAUUGAUUAUACAUCAAUGUCAUGUCUCUUUCUCUCUAUAUGUAUUAUAUAUGGAGCGUACAUGAAUACUGCCAUAAACUGUGCAGUAGGACUAUAAUUCAAAUACCUGAAUGGAGUCCAAAUUUUAACAGGUUAUGCCUAUGACUUUCAGCAUUGUCUAAAUCUUAUGUCAGGUUAAGUUUUAUCCUGAAAAUAACUCAAAAUAUCAUUGAAAUGAUUCUCCUUAAACUAGAGGAGAAGCAGAUAAAACUAAUAGCAGAUCCUUUACAUACUUCCAUUGCAUAAUUAUUGAAAUGAUCAAACCAAGGAGCGAAAGAGAAAAUUCUAUGACUCCUGAACCAAUAUUAAAGUGUAAGAAGCCACUUAUCUACAUUUGGAAAAAAGUACUUCUUCCUUAUUCUUCUUAUCCAUCAUUCUUACACAACUAUAAUUUAUUAGAUAAAACUGUGAAUGAUAUCUUUUUCUAUUUGGUUCAUAAUCAACUAGCUAUGGGGCCACCACAGGUUUUCUGAAUUUGUUCUUACAAUUAUUGGAAGUAUUAGACCUAAAUCCUAAUCAAGAAGGUUUCUUAAAACUGUAGACAAAAUUCUUUUUGGACAGAGCAGGUUCGUGAAGGUAAACGGUAAGCAAAAGUUUUUAAUUCUUGUUUGUGAAUGUAAGUAGAAGCGGAUGAUUUAAUAAAAAUCUUUAAGUUUCCACAUAUGAGAUACAUUAUAAUAGUUCUACAUGUGAGAUAACACUCAAUUUUUGAUGUAUUACAUUUUCUUAGUGCCAACAGUAGACUGCAUUUUGAGAGUUGACUUCAAACAUUAAAAAGAACUUGAAAUGCAUAACUUGAUAGCUAGUCGUAUUAUGUUUAUCCGCUAACUUGAUCACGCUAUUUCAUUUUUUGACUGGAUCAUCACAUUUACCUAUUUAUACUACAGUAUAAACUAUUUACCACGUAGAGAGGUUAUAAAUUAAUUACAUUAUCAUAUUUAUAUACAAAAUAAUGUAUUAGAAUCUUACCCAUUUUCUCUCCUUCUUCUUCUUCUUCUUUCUCCAAAUUCAAACCUCUUCAAAUUCAUUGACGAUCCAUAAAAUUCUUUCACCAUCAACUCUGCACCAGUCAGUUUCACUCAGCAUCUAAUUUCUCUAAAAAAACAUAGCAAUAACAAAAAAUAAAAAGCAACAAAGUUUGAAGGAAAAGAAUGAAUGAACAGACCUGCGAAAGAAAUAAACCUCUUAACGGAUUGAAAGGACUCUGGUAAACCCACCGAUGUUAUAGAGAAGAAUUUGACAACUAAUAAAAAUCUUCGUUGACAGCCACUAAAUAUUUUGAGAGAAUUUGGUGAAGAUCCGGUUGGUUUUUGUUGGAAUUUCAG